rnacentral:lncRNA from 1 species
CCCCAGACUGGGACACAUCAAACCAACUGCGGGGCCAGGAGGGGUGAAAUGACUGGAGGCCUUGCAGCUACCGCAGUGCUCCAGUACUUCUCCCCCAGCAUCUUCAGUGGGAAAGGGGUCCUCAGAAUCGGGGUUCUCAAUGGCCACAAGUUUGGGGGUCAGCUCCUCAAUUUCACUGUCAGAAUCUGAUUCCUAAUUGUCAUACUCUGAAUCAUUGUCAGAAUUGACUAAAAUCUGAAUUUCAGCAUUUGUGAGUUGACAUUGCUAAUGCUACAGCUUAGCCCACUAGCUACAUACAUAAACAACAACACCGGAUUGCUCCAAGUGAGUGUCAGAGGUGAUGUCAUUGGCUGCAGAUGUUGUGACACUGAUGAAUUGUCUCCACAGAUGGUUUGUUUACAUAGCAGGUUAGGACAAUUAAUGUGGCAGGUUAGGAGAACUAACACAACAGGUUAGGAUAAUUAAGGUGGCAGGUUAGGAGAACUAACACAGCAGGUUAGGAUAAUUAACAUGGCAGGUUAGGAGAACUAACACAGCAGGUUAGGAUAAUUAAGGUGGCAGGUUAGGAGAACUAACACAGCAGGUUAGGAUAAUUAAGGUGGCAGGUUAGGAGAACUAACACAGCAGGUUAGGAUAAUUAAGGUGGCAGGUUAGGAGAACUAACACAGCAGGUUAGGAUAAUUAACGUGGCAGGUUAGGAGAACUAACACAGCAGGUUAGGAUAAUUAACGUGGCAGGUUAGGAAAACUAACACAGCAGGUUAGGAUAAUUAACGUGGCAGGUUAGGAGAACUAACACAGCAGGUUAAUACACAGCAGCUAAUACAGGUUAAUACACAGCAACUUCGCCUUCAACAUGCAUACUACAGACUGACCCAACUUAUCUUGUCACCUCUUCUUAUUUUUGGUUGACACAGAAAAACAAACAUGGUGGUGCGCACACAAACUCUAC